rnacentral:lncRNA from 1 species
AAACAGCCUAUUAUCUAGUCAACUCGGUCUACUCUACUGUUUUGUUUUCCAUUUCAAUCUUCAAUUCAUUCAUUCGAAAGUAAAUGAAUAUUCUCUUCCAUCAACCAGCGGCCACAAUGGUAGACACAAUGGUAGAUCCUCAGUGUUUUGUGUUGCAGAAUAAAAUUACAGAAAUGACCAACAACAGUGAAGAACAACAGACAUCAUCUUCCGGGAGACCAUCAUAGAGGAGACCAUCAGAGAGGAGACCAUCAUAGAGGUGGUAAUUCAGCCACCAACUCCAGAGGCCAAGGUUGAAUUUGGUGCUCCCCCCGCUGUGAUCACCACUCAGCCAGCACAGCCAAUGCCUGAACACAAUGACAGCAUUUCUGUGGGCAUGUGGGAAGCCAACGUUACUUGUUCCAUCAACCAGUGGCCAUCAAUGGUAGAUCCUCAGAAUAAAAUUACAGAAAUGACUAACAACAGUGAAGAACAACAGACCUCAUCUUCCGGGAGACCAUCAUAGAGGAGACCAUCAUAGAGGUGGUAAUUCAGCCACCAACUCCAGAGGCCAAGGUUGAAUCUGAUGCUCCCCCCCCCCCGCUGUGAUCACCACUCAGCCAGCACAGCCAAUGCCUGAACACGAUGACAGCAUUGCUGUGGUCAUGUGGGAAGCCACCGUUACUGGUCGACGCCUCAUCGACGAGAUGGUAACCUGGGAUCAUUCUACGUGGCACAGUAAGAGAAAGCAGAAGGGCACGAUUUCAACGAGUACGCCAUGCCGUAUGGCAAGCUACCGCUGAAUGUAAUUCGCAACUACAAUCUUCGCAUCGUUGACACGGGCGCCGUCUUUUUUUCUUUUUUUGACGGCGUGUGUGUCGUUACCGCAUGCUCAAGGAGAUCCGCAACAACAGAAUGCUCAAGUCCAAGAGCGAGGUGGCCGCCUGCAACGAUUUCGCCUCGUGGCUCAUCAAGCUCCAAAAAGAUAAUUUCACCGACAAGAAAAUUGUCUUAUAGUCUUCUUUGAACCACGCCACUCCAAGAUCCUUCAGCUCUUCCAGGCUUUGGAACGUUACCGUCUUCUUGAUUAUGUCAACAAGAUUUUGCUUGGAUGUGUUAAUGGCUGGGAUCUGCUCCGUCAACAGGUGCAUGAUUUGAAGGAUGAACAUCGCAUGGUCCUUAAAGCUUUGGCUGAUCACCACCUUGGAGUCGACACACCUUUGGAGAGCGCUGUUCAACGUGCUCAAUCAAGCACUUCACAAGAUCCUUCGCAAGGUGCAUGGCGGCCGCAUCAACACUGGGGUACUUAAGGAGAACCUCAUCAGUUAGGAUCAUUUGCUCGAACAAGUCAAGAAGAUCAAAGAAGAAUUGACUAAGGAGGCUCAAUGGAGACCUGUAUUCGCUGACAUGUUUCCUUUCGUCAAGGUAUCAAGCCUGGCCGGCGAGCUGGAUUCCUCCGCCAUAUGCUCGUCGAGUCGGGCAUCACCUAUGCAGGCCUUACGGAAACAUUCAAGGACAAGAAAGAUGACGGUGUGGUCGAGGUCAUCAAAGAGAACAUCAAAGGCAAGAAUGAAGCCGACGUGGAGGAAAUCAUCAAGCUGCUGAAUCAACACCUUGCGCAGCCAGACAAACCCGUCCGACGCGGUAGCGGCCGUCGAGCACCCCGCACUAGUUCCCAUUGCACCGCCACCGACUUGGAGAAGCAGCAGUCUGCGUUCAAGAUCGAGCCCGAGGAAAACAACAACGACCCUGUCAAAGUGAUUAUGGAUGUUAUUCCCAGCACUCCUGCGGUCCUGUCCGAAGUUUAAAAAGUCCCUCUCUUCUCGACUCGCCUGAAAUUACUUACUGCCUCCCGCCCCACUUCCCUUUUGUUUUUCACUUAACUUGUCUCGUUUUUGAGAAAUUUUGAUCUUUUUUUAAGUUUACAAGUCUCUCACGAAACAAACUUGCUUGUCGCUUUUGGUUAUGCUUUUUUUCUUACCAGAGAUAACACUUUCAAAAUUUAUAUACAUACCAGGGAUCUUUUUGGUAAUUGUUCUAGUCUUAUACUAAAAUCAAUCCAGGGUGUAUAUGUGCGAUGAAAUUGUCUCUGCAGUGCCUUUGCAGUGCCUUUCAUACUUGUGAGUUGAUCUCAUGGAAUGGAAUACAAAAUACUGUCGCGUGGUCAAUGACCACGCUAUGUGAUACGUCUGGUAUGUAGUCCAACCGGACGUACUGUAUGACUGUGCCGGCCUAGCCGGGUAUAUAAGCGUAGAGCAUCGGACUGAUCGGGGCUGUUCCCUGGCUGUCCUUGGCUGUCUAACAGUGACUGUACUAGAAUGUAGUAUUAGCAAUACACUCCUUAUCCUUGUAUGUUACAUGGUGGAGAUGCAGGCCUCAUAGGGUAAGUCCGUUUUUCUCCAUCGUGUUGUAAUUUAUUCGCAGUGUGUGCCGUGAAAUUGCGGUGGUGCGGAUUUGUUCCGGCCAAGCUACGAUGUGACGGAGGAAACGGCGCCUUGAGUGCGAUCCCUGGUAACAAGGGUGAGGAGAACGGAGCGGGGGAUAAGUAGAAAUUUGGGAGUAGCAUUUGUUGUUUGUUGUUGAUUGUUGAUUUGUUGUUUUGUUGUUGUUAGCGCACGGUGAGCAGCGGGUUUCAGACCGCGGGCAAGAUCCGGGGUCGCUUGAAAACGCACGUUGAGCGGAAAAAGCGUGAGCCUUUUGUCCGCAAGAAACGGGGUCGUUUGGGUUAUAAGCGCACGGUGAGCAGCGAGCUUUUUUGGCCGCGUGCAAGACCUGGGGUCGCUUGGAAAAAACGCACGUUGAGGGAAAAAGCGUGAGCCUUUUGUCCGCGAAACGGGGUCGUUGUAGGAAGCGCACGGUGAGCAGCGAGCUUUUUGGCCGCGUGCAAGACCUGGGGUUGCUUGGAAAAAAACGCACGUUGAGGGAAAAAGCGUGAGCCUUUUGUCCGCAAGAAACGGGGUCGUUUGGUUUGUAAGCGCACAGUGAGCAGCGGGAAGCGUCAAGCUUCUGGUCGCGGGCAAGACCUGGGGUCGCUUGAGAGCGCACGUUGAGCGGCAAAAGGUGUAAAUCUUUUCGGUUUCCGCAAGAAACGGGGUCGUUCACAGUGCACAGUGAGCAGCGGAAAGUGUCAAAGCUUUCGGACGCGGGCAAGAUCUGGGGUCACUGAAAACGCACGGUGAGCAACGGGAAGUGUUUCAUUUCUCGAAGGUUGCAACAUGCCGGGGUCGUUUAGUGUUUUGUUCGUGUUCUUUUUUUUGUGUGUGUUUGUUGUGUUGUGGAAAAGUGUGCUGUGUAUGGUGUACGGAGACGAAAACAGUGAUGGCCGAAGGAGGAAGGCAGUUGGACCGGUGGAAAGAGAGACUUGAUCAGCCCCUAUGGAACGGGAGAUCGACAAGAGAAUUGGCGAUGGCGAGAGGAUCGAAGAGAGACCGGUGAAGGAGCGGAGAAGACAGACCAACGGAGAGAGAGCGAUUGAAAGAGACCUACGGGAGAAGAGAAGCUGCGAGACCGGCAGAAGGUCGGGAGCCCGACAGCAAGGCGAGCGGCGAUCGACGGCGGAGAGAGCGACGAGCGGCGGAGAGAGAGAGCGACGACGAGAGAGGCGGAGAGAGAGAGCGACGACGAGAGAGGCGGAGAGAGAGAACGACAGAGAGAGAGGCGGAGAGAGUGACGGUGGAGAGAGCGACGAGCGACGGCGGAGAGGGCGACGAGCGGCGGAGAGAGCGACGAGCGGCGGAGAGAGCGACGAGCGGCGGCGAGAGCGACGAGCGGCGGCGAGAGGAGCGAGCUACGGAAGAGACAACGGUGAGAGAGAGCGACGGAGACGACAGAGCGGGAUAGAAACAAUGAAGCUAGAGAAAGAAGAAGGAACGAGAGCGACAGAGGAAACAGUGACGGCGGAGAGAGCGAUGAGUGACAGAGGAGAGAGCGACGAGCGACGAGCGACAGAGGAGAGAGCGACGAGCGACGAGCGACAGAGGAGAGAGCGACAGAGGAGAGAGCGACAGAGGAAAGAGGAGACAGCGACGGAGGAGAGAACGGAGUGUGAUUGAACGGAGAGAAAAGUGACGAUGAGAACGGUUGAGUGUUAGACGAAGGGCGGAAUGCGCCGAAAAAUUGUUUUUUCCUGUUGUCACGUUAUUUUUUUAAAUUACAUAUUAGUAUUGCUAUCGAUCGGAGAGACUGACGGGUGACGAUCUGGAAGUCGAACUGAGUUCAUUGCUUGUGACAUUUUGUACGUGAUUGAUUUUUCAAAUGGUUGCAGUAUUUUGUGCGUUUUUUUUUUUAAGUCGUAGUUCUGUUCCGGUUUGGUUUUCUUUGCCUUAGAGAUGCAUUUAUUAGUUAUUAUUGUAUGGAUUUUGUGGGAUAGGAAAUUAAGUGUGAAUGAAUUAUUGUUUUUGCUGUCGAUGCGUGAAUUUUGUUCGUAUAGAUUUAUUUUGUUGUGGAUAUUUUUGACGAUUGCUUUGUUUUGUCCUGACUACUCGGCACGUGCACGUGUGAGAUAUUUCCUGACGAGUAAUUUUUUUUUUGCUGAUGUGAGUUAUUUGAUAUGUUUUUUAUGUUUUUGAAUGAAUUUUGUCGUUGUGUUGCCGCAGUCGGGGACGACUGCGAGUUAAAGAGGGGGAUGUCGCGUGGUCAAUGACCACGCUAUGUGAUACGUCUGGUAUGUAGUCCAACCGGACGUACUGUAUGACUGUGCCGGCCUAGCCGGGUAUAUAAGCGUAGAGCAUCGGACUGAUCGGGGCUGUUCCCUGGCUGUCCUUGGCUGUCUAACAGUGACUGUACUAGAAUGUAGUAUUAGCAAUACACUCCUUAUCCUUGUA